UACAGAGGAGCCAAGCGUUGUCCGGAUUGACUGGGCGUAAAGCGCACGCAGGCGGUCGCGCGCGUGGGGUGUGAAAUCUGGCCGCUUAACGGCCAGGCGCCAUCCCAUACGGCACGACUGGAGUGAUGCAGAGGUCGGUGGAAUUUCCGGUGUAGCGGUGAAAUGCGUAGAUAUCGGAAGGAACAUCAGUGGCGAAAGCGGCUUCCUGGACCAGCACCGACGUCAGGCACGAAAGCGUGGGGAGCAAACAGG
rnacentral:rRNA from 1 species